GCUGGCUGUUCAGAGGUGGGUGCCCUGUGUGGGGAGGCUCUUUGAUUCCUGGGGAGGAAGGCUAGAGAACAGGCAGCUCUUUUCUCUCUGCUAGAAAAGAGGAGGCGGCUCCUCACAAGGUUCCUUCCCACAGCUGAGCACUGCCCACAGCUGCCCUUGCCCCUGCCUUUCCACGUUGCACAAGCCCAGCGCACGGUACCCACUGGAUAUGCCCGAGGCCUCCAGAGGAAAGGAAAGGAGGAAAAGGGACAGAAGAAAUGUUCACAGGAACUGCAUAUGGGCCUGCUACUUGUGUCAAAAUGUGACUGAACUCUCUUCCAGCAGUGUGAAUCCCUGGAAGGCAAGAUCGCCAUUCUGGUCUCUUGUGGAUAUCAAUGCUGAUCUCAGCUUCUGAUGCACGGCAGUCAAUUAAUAAAUGAUUGUUGCCUGAAAAACUGAGCCCCAAAACAAUAUUACAAGUUUAAUAUCAGUAAAGGAUUUAAUGCUUUCUAACAUGAAGAUACCAGAAGUUGCUGAUUUUUGUAUAACCCAGAGAUGGAUUUAAAUGCAGAGUGUAUGAACUUCUUCAUUCCUGAGGGAGGACUUAUGAUUUCAUGAGAAAUGCCCUAGGAAAGGGGCCGGGGAGACUGAUGGAGAAGAAGAGUUUGGGAGAGUUUAACUGGACUGAAAGCAAUCUGGAGCACCGGCAAGGGGCAGAAGGAGAUUGAAAUGUAAAACACGUAGAAUGGAGACUGAUUUCAUCUCUCUUGAUUCUAAGCUCAUUUG
rnacentral:lncRNA from 1 species